CCAGAAUUAGGUUGUAGAAAAAUUCACUAUAAAUAAAAUAUAGACUCUUAAAAUAUUUUGUAAACCAAGUACUUUAAACUCUUAAAAUCAGUUAUGUAAACUUCUGUAACAUUGUCAUAUUCUGAAAGGAUUGAUUUGGAAAGUGAUAAAUAAUCUUGUAAAGAUGGAAGGGAAGCUGAAAAA